AGUUAACUUCCUUGUUUACAUGCUUUAUUAUGAUAUAAUAAUUAUUUUUUCUGAUUUUUUAACUUCAUUAGAUUCCAUAAUUAAUCAUUUGACCUUUGCACUGAUAAUUUAGAUUUAUUCUAAUUUAGAUUUUUUCUUUAGAUGUUCCCUUUAAAAUCAAACGUUUUAUAUAACCAUAUAAAGCGUUACUGUAAUAUUGCAUAUAUAUAUAUAUAUAUAUAUAUAUAUAUCAUCAUUGCUUCUAUUUAUCUCCUUUGAAACUUGAUAUUUCAGUAUUAAAGAGUACAGAAAUUGCAAUAUUAGGAUUAAAACAGUAUUGUUAUAUAUGUAUUGCUCUCUCAUGAAAGCUUUCAUUCAUUUUAUAGAAAUCUGAAAAUAUUUCAUCAUUUGCAUUCAGAACGCACGCCUAUUUAAUAUAUUUAUAAAAAUAAUAAGAAUAAAAUUUAUAUGAUCUUUGUAAAUAGUAUCAUCUGUUCUAAUCUUAAAGUAUCAUUAUAGUCGAUUAGUAACGUGUAUCUGGAUAUAAGUGAUACUAUUGAUAAUAUUAUUGAAAAGUCUUCUUUCUUGUAUAACGUAAUAAUUAAUGCUAAAAAUAAUUAUUGCAAAAUUGAAACACAUAAAUAAUUAAAUGUGCUUAACGAAAUGCAUCCUUCAUUCAUGUUUUCAUAUUAAAACACGAAUACAAUUAAAUCCAAAUAAUUUUAAUUAUUUACAUUGUAGACAUUCAUUUUAUUGAAAAUUGUUUGUAAGGAUUUGUUUAAAUUCAUUGGUGAAAGAUAUAUUGUAUAUGCAGCUUAGUAUAUUUCUUGUUUUUAUAAUUUUAUUUAUAACUGAUGUAAUUUGGUAAAAUGAUUAAAUAUUAAUAGAUUGGAAAGUUUCCAGGUAUUUCUACAAUGUGUGGUAUUUUUGAGUUUUGUUCCAUCAUACCAUCCCUGGCUUAUCUAUUUUCUCUCAGUGAUUGGUCUUCAAGGGUGCAACAUAUUGCUCUACAUAUUGCUUGUGAUACUUAUUUAUUCCAGCG